CUCUUCGAUGUUCUGGGCUGCACGCGCGCUACAGUGGCAAAGACAGAGAGCAUGAAUUAAUUAUAGAGUCGCAUCGAGGGAUGUGACGAAUCAGCAAUCGUUGUCGUGAUUGGGAUUGAGCGUUGUAAUAUUUGCUCAUGAAAGAGGAAUUCCUCGUAAGCGCGAGUCACUAACUCGUGUUAAUUACGUCUCUGCCCUUUGUACACACCGCCCGUCGCUCCUACCGAUUGAGUGGUCCGGUGAGGCUUUGGGAUCUGAGCGGAAAGAGCGUUUCGCUGUUUCUGCUCGGAAAACUCAGUCGAACCUUAUCAUUUAGAGGAAGGAGAAGUCGUAACA
rnacentral:rRNA from 1 species